UACGUAGGGUGCAAGCGUUAAUCGGAAUUACUGGGCGUAAAGCGUGCGCAGGCGGUUAUGUAAGACAGUUGUGAAAUCCCCGGGCUCAACCUGGGAACUGCAUCCGAGACUGCAUUGCUAGAGUAUGGGAGAGGAAAGCGGAAUUUCUGGUGUAGCAGUGAAAUGCGUAGAUAUCAGAAGGAACAUCAGUGGCGAAGGCGGCUUUCUGGACCAAUACUGACGAUCAGGUGCGAAAGCGUGGGGAGCAAACAGG
rnacentral:rRNA from 1 species